rnacentral:rRNA from 1 species
GGGUUGUGAGGUUAAGCGACUAAGCGUACACGGUGGAUGCCCUGGCAGUCAGAGGCGAUGAAGGACGUGCUAAUCUGCGAUAAGCGUCGGUAAGGUGAUAUGAACCGUUAUAACCGGCGAUUUCCGAAUGGGGAAACCCAGUGUGAUUCGUCACACUAUCAUUAACUGAAUCCAUAGGUUAAUGAGGCGAACCGGGGGAACUGAAACAUCUAAGUACCCCGAGGAAAAGAAAUCAACCGAGAUUCCCCCAGUAG